rnacentral:tRNA from 1 species
AGGAUAAUAGUUAAAAAACAACAUUUAACUUGCACUUAAAAAUUAUUGAAAUCAAUCAAUUUAUCUUA